CCUACGGGAUGCAGCAGUGGGGAAUAUUGCACAAUGGGCGCAAGCCUGAUGCAGCCAUGCCGCGUGUGUGAAGAAGGCCUUCGGGUUGUAAAGCACUCUCAGCGAGGAGGAAGGUGGUGAGCUUAAUACGCUCAUCAAUUGACGUUACUCGCAGAAGAAGCACCGGCUAACUCCGUGCCAGCAGCCGCGGUAAUACGGAGGGUGCAAGCGUUAAUCGGAAUUACUGGGCGUAAAGCGCACGCAGGCGGUUUGUUAAGUCAGAUGUGAAAUCCCCGGGCUCAACCUGGGAACUGCAUUCGAAACUGGCAGGCUAGAGUCUUGUAGAGGGGGGUAGAAUUCCAGGUGUAGCGGUGAAAUGCGUAGAGAUCUGGAGGAAUACCGGUGGCGAAGGCGGCCCCCUGGACAAAGACUGACGCUCAGGUGCGAAAGCGCGGGGAGCAAACAGGAUUAGAUACCCUGGUAGUC
rnacentral:rRNA from 1 species